CAUGGCUCAGAUGAAACGCUGGCGGCAGGCCUACNACAUGCAAGUCGAACGGUAACAGAAAGCAGCUUGCUGCUUUGCUGACGAGUGGCGGACGGGUGAGUAAUGUCUGGGAAACUGCCUGAUGGAGGGGGAUAACUACUGGAAACGGUAGCUAAUACCGCAUAACGUCGCAAGACCAAAGAGGGGGACCUUCGGGCCUCUUGCCAUCGGAUGUGCCCAGAUGGGAUUAGCUAGUAGGUGGGGUAACGGCUCACCUAGGCGACGAUCCCUAGCUGGUCUGAGAGGAUGACCAGCCACACUGGAACUGAGACACGGUCCAGACUCCUACGGGAGGCAGCAGUGGGGAAUAUUGCACAAUGGGCGCAAGCCUGAUGCAGCCAUGCCGCGUGUAUGAAGAAGGCCUUCGGGUUGUAAAGUACUUUCAGCGGGGAGGAAGGGAGUAAAGUUAAUACCUUUGCUCAUUGACGUUACCCGCAGAAGAAGCACCGGCUAACUCCGUGCCAGCAGCCGCGGUAAUACGGAGGGUGCAAGCGUUAAUCGGAAUUACUGGGCGUAAAGCGCACGCAGGCGGUUUGUUAAGUCAGAUGUGAAAUCCCCGGGCUCAACCUGGGAACUGCAUCUGAUACUGGCAAGCUUGAGUCUCGUAGAGGGGGGUAGAAUUCCAGGUGUAGCGGUGAAAUGCGUAGAGAUCUGGAGGAAUACCGGUGGCGAAGGCGGCCCCCUGGACGAAGACUGACGCUCAGGUGCGAAAGCGUGGGGAGCAAACAGGAUUAGAUUCCCUGGUAGUCCACGCCGUAAACGAUGUCGACUUGGAGGUUGUGCCCUUGAGGCGUGGCUUCCGGAGCUAACGCGUUAAGUCGACCGCCUGGGGAGUACGGCCGCAAGGUUAAAACUCAAAUGAAUUGACGGGGGCCCGCACAAGCGGUGGAGCAUGUGGUUUAAUUCGAUGCAACGCGAAGAACCUUACCUGGUCUUGACAUCCACGGAAGUUUUCAGAGAUGAGAAUGUGCCUUCGGGAACCGUGAGACAGGUGCUGCAUGGCUGUCGUCAGCUCGUGUUGUGAAAUGUUGGGUUAAGUCCCGCAACGAGCGCAACCCUUAUCCUUUGUUGCCAGCGGUCCGGCCGGGAACUCAAAGGAGACUGCCAGUGAUAAACUGGAGGAAGGUGGGGAUGACGUCAAGUCAUCAUGGCCCUUACGACCAGGGCUACACACGUGCUACAAUGGCGCAUACAAAGAGACGCU
rnacentral:rRNA from 1 species